rnacentral:rRNA from 1 species
UACGGAGGGUGCGAGCGUUGUCCGGAAUCACUGGGCGUAAAGGGUGCGUAGGCGGGUCUUUUAAGUCAGGGGUGAAAUCCUGGAGCUCAACUCCAGAACUGCCUUUGAUACUGAGGAUCUUGAGUUCGGGAGAGGUGAGUGGAACUGCGAGUGUAGAGGUGAAAUUCGUAGAUAUUCGCAAGAACACCAGUGGCGAAGGCGGCUCACUGGCCCGAUACUGACGCUGAGGCACGAAAGCGUGGGGAGCAAACAGG